rnacentral:miRNA from 1 species
GGUCUGCUCAGCUCCCUCGCGCGCCGCAGAGUGAGGCUGGGAGCCGUGUUGAUGACGUCAUCAACCCGGCUCCCAGCCUCACUCUGAGGUGCGCGAGGGAGCUGAGCA